ACAAUCAGUUAUUCACGUCAGAGUUAAAAGAUGAAUAAAAAGUUAACAUGGAUUAUAUUCACAAUUAUCUCUUCCCCUUUGUUGUGUUUUGCUGAAUUCCAUCCUCUUUGCAAUCUUAAAAGAUCGACAAGACAAGGAUUCUGCCAAUAUCAAACAGUGUGGAGCUAUGAUAUUCUCUCGGAUGAAUGCACCUCUUGGGAUUAUGCAGGAUGUGACAUCGAGGGCAAUAUGUUUGGGAACUAUGCAGAUUGCCGAAGUUAUUGUGUUCGGAAAGCUUCGACAGUUGCUUGGAUUAAAGACCGUUAGUUACAUUUGAUUUAUUUUUAUUGACAUAAAAACAGUGAAGUUUUGGUUAUAGAUAGAUGUCAUUUAAAACAUGUAGAGCCUACUAAUAAGAGAGAGUGUGAAAAAACAAAUAUAUAUUCCUAUAAUUCGAGUCUGAA